rnacentral:rRNA from 1 species
GAUAAACGCUGGCGGCGCACAUAAGACAUGCAAGUCGAACGGAAGUCGUUACUAAAUGGAUUGAAGAUUUAUCAGAUUGAAGUUUAGUAACAAUGGCUUUAGUGGCGGACUGGUGAGUAACACGUAAGCAAUCUACCUAUUAGAGGGGAAUAACAAUGAGAAAUCAUUGCUAAUACCGCAUAAGCUUGUAGCAUCGCAUGAUGCAGCAAGAAAAGGAGCAAUCCGCUAAUAGAUGAGCUUGCGGCUGAUUAGCUAGUUGGUAAGGUAACGGCUUACCAAGGCAACGAUCAGUAGCCGAGCUGAGAGGCUCUUCGGCCACAUUGGGACUGAGAUACGGCCCAGACUCCUACGGGAGGCAGCAGUCGGGAAUAUUGCGCAAUGGAGGAAACUCUGACGCAGUGACGCCGCGUAUAGGAAGAAGGUUUUAGGAUUGUAAACU